CGUUUAAAUAUAUUGUUUGUCAACCAAUUAGAAACGUCCUAGGCGAAUCUGUGGCGUGUGGCGUCAUUCUUCUCUCGAAAAUCAUCGCGACAGGAUGUAUCGCCGGCUGAAUUUGCGUAACCUCGACUGCGUAGUUAUUAACUGAUCAAGUGUAACUUUGAAGGCGGGAAAAAUUCCAAUAUGGACGCUAUGGAGACGCAAUAAAAUUUGAUAUUUUGUGAUCACGCGCAAUGCGAUCGUUAGAGUUAGUGUUUGCUUCGUAAUAAUGAAUUAUAAUACUUUUUCGCGAAAAUAGAGUCAGUGUUUGUUCAUCGAUUAUAAUUUAAACGGGCGUGUUAAUAAUCUUUUAUUAUUUUUUCUUUUUUAAAUAUUCGUUUUCAUACAUAUUCGAUUCAGUGUUUCGAAAAAAGAAUAGAACGAUCAUCCAUCAUACGAAGAGAUAUUUUACACAUUUUAAUGACUUCUUAAUGACCAUGCUAAUAUCGAUGGCAACGUUCUCCUUUCAUCUAAUGGUGAGUCGCAUGCAUUUUUGUUCCUCUGGUCAUUCAAUCAUGUCGUAGGAUAAAAGAUCCGAAUCGACACGAGUGACUGGUUGUAUACGUAGAUUUUUGUGCGAGCACAGUGACCACGGGUAUAUUAUAUCCAUGAGUAAUAACCAUUUUGUAUUUUUUCUGCAUUUUAUUUAUUAGUUCAGGAUAGGUCUUCUUGUGCAUCGCGUUUUUGAAUGUUAAUAAUUUUGUAAUAAUAACACAUUAAUAUUUUUAAAAUCAUAUUAUUAUCUUGAAAAUUAUUAUUAUAAUUUAUUCCUUUUAUUCAAUAAAUCUUAAGUGCAAGAAGACACUUUUCGCGAUAGAUAGAUUUCGGAAUCAAAGCAACCAAUUUAAGAUAUUUUUGAGAUAUUUUUUCAAAUAUAUGCUUUGAUUAAGGGAUCGUCUAAGGAUAUUUUUAUUAAUAUUUAAUUUAUGUCAAUUA